rnacentral:rRNA from 1 species
CUCUGCUGACGACCGGCGCACGGGUGCGUAACGCGUAUGCAAUCUACCUCUUACUGAGGGAUAGCCCAUGGAAACGUGGAUUAAUACCUCAUAGUAUUAUAGACUGGCCUCAGUUUAUGAUUAAAGGUUACGGUAAGAGAUGAGCAUGCGUCCUAUUAGCUAGAUGGUAAGGUAACGGCUUACCAUGGCUACGAUAGGUAGGGGUCCUGAGAGGGAGAUCCCCCACACUGGUACUGAGACACGGACCAGACUCCUACGGGAGGCAGCAGUGAGGAAUAUUGGACAAUGGGCGAGAGCCUGAUCCAGCCAUGCCGCGUGCAGGAAGACGGCCCUAUGGGUUGUAAACUGCUUUUACAGAGGAAGAACCCUCCUUACGUGUAAGGAGCUGACGGUACUCUAUGAAUAAGGAUCGGCUAACUCCGUGCCAGCAGCCGCGGUAAUACGGAGGAUCCAAGCGUUAUCCGGAAUCAUUGGGUUUAAAGGGUCCGUAGGCGGGUCUAUAAGUCAGUGGUGAAAGUCUGCAGCUUAACUGUAGAACUGCCAUUGAUACUGUAGACCUUGAAUUAGUAUGAAGUGGUUAGAAUGUGUAGUGUAGCGGUG